rnacentral:misc_RNA from 1 species
CAGAGAGGGCUGAUAGCAGAAAUCAUAUCUCGUUUUGAACGUAAGGGUUUCAAGCUUGUGGCAAUUAAGAUAGUGGUUCCUUCGAAGGAAUUUGCUCAGAAGCAUUAUCAUGAUCUGAAGGAAAGACCCUUCUUUGAUGGUCUCUGUGACUUCCUUAGCUCGGGCCCUGUUAUUGCUAUGGUCUGGGAAGGAGAAGGGGUGAUUAAAUAUGGUAGGAAGCUCAUUGGAGCCACAGAUCCCCAGAAAUCAGAACCUGGAACUAUCAGAGGUGAUCUAGCCGUUGUUGUUGGAAGAAAUAUCAUCCAUGGAAGUGAUGGCCCGGAAACUGCCAAGGAUGAGAUUAACUUGUGGUUCAAACCGGAUGAAUUGGUUAGUUAUUCAAGCAAUGCUGAGAAAUGGCUCUACGGAGUUGACUGAAGUUUGUUCUCAGGUUUUCUUCAGAAACUUAGGUCCCACAUGUAGGAUGGGGGAGAAUCAUAAUUUUUAGAAUAAGAUUGUUUCCGCUGAGGCGAGUGAAAAUGGUGCUUUGCUACAAACAAUUGGCAAAAGUUGAAAUUUUAGUAAUAUUCUAUUUCACCCUCUUUUUGUCAUCACCUCAAAUCACAUAGCUAUUCUACCUUCAAAUUGUUCAAUAUCCUGGAA